rnacentral:tRNA from 1 species
GGGUAUGUAGCUCAGUGGUUAAGAGCAUGGCUCGUCUUGCAGAGGACCUGGGUUCUAUUCCCAGCACCCA